rnacentral:rRNA from 1 species
GACAGAGGGUGCAAACGUUGCUCGGAAUCACUGGGCGUAAAGGGCGUGUAGGCGGGACAGUAAGUCGGGCGUGAAAUCCCUGGGCUCAACCCAGGAACUGCACUCGAAACUACUAUUCUUGAGUGUCGGAGAGGAAAGCGGAAUUCCUGGUGUAGAGGUGAAAUUCGUAGAUAUCAGGAGGAACACCAGUGGCGAAGGCGGCUCACUGGCCCGAUACUGACGCUGAGGCACGAAAGCGUGGGGAGCAAACAGG